rnacentral:rRNA from 1 species
CAUUAAAGAGUUCUAUAACUCCCAAACCCAUGUGAACAUACCUAACGUUGCCUCGGCAGGUCGCACCUACCUUGUAGCACCCUACCCUGUAGGGCCUACCCGGGAGGUGCGGGUAAGCCUGCCGGCGGCCCACCAAACUCUGUUUGAUAUUGAAUUCUGAACCUAUAACUAAAUAAGUUAAAACUUUCAACAACGGAUCUCUUGGUUCUGGCAUCGAUGAAGAACGCAGCGAAAUGCGAUAAGUAAUGUGAAUUGCAGAAUUCAGUGAAUCAUCGAAUCUUUGAACGCAUAUUGCGCCCAUUAGUAUUCUAGUGGGCAGGACCGUUCGAGCGUCAUUUCAACCCUUAAGCCUUCGUUGCUUAGUGUUGGGAGCCUACGGCAACGUAGCUCCUCAAAGUUAGUGGCGGAGUUGGUUCACACUCUAGACGUAGUAAUUUUUUAUCUCGCCUAUUAGUUGGACUAAUCCCCUGCCGUAAAACCCCCAAUUUAUCAAGGUUGACCUCGAAUCGGUUCAGACAAACUCGCUAAAUUGAAGCAUCUUAGUCAGCGAAGGAAAAGAAACCAACAGGGAUUGCCCUAGUAACGGCGAGUGAAGCGGCAACAGCUCAAAUUUGAAAUCUGGCCCUCGGGUCCGAGUUGUAAUUUGUAGAGGAUGCUUUUGGCGCGGUGCCUUCCGAGUUCCCUGGAACGGGACGCCUUAGAGGGUGAGAGCCCCGUACGGUUGGACACCAAGCCUCUGUAAAGCUCCUUCGACGAGUCGAGUAGCUUGGGAAUGCUGCUCUAAAUGGGAGGUAAAUUUCUUCUAAAGCUAAAUAUUGGCCAGAGACC